UACGGAGGGUGCAAACGUUGCUCGGAAUCAUUGGGCGUAAAGCGCACGUAGGCGGUCUAGUAAGUCGGGCGUGAAAUCCCUCGGCUUAACCAAGGAAGUGCACUCGAAACUACUAGACUUGAGUACUGGAGAGGAUCGCGGAAUUCUCGGUGUAGAGGUGAAAUUCGUAGAUAUCGGGAGGAACACCAGUAGCGAAGGCGGCACCCUGGGCCGGUACUGACGCUGAGGAGCGAAAGCGUGGGGAGCAAACAGG
rnacentral:rRNA from 1 species